UUUUGUUUGUAAAAUGGGUGUAAGUAGUCGGAGGAGGACGACAUUCCACUGAUCAGUGUGGUUGGAAUGCCUGUUUGCACCAUCAGUAUAUAUCAGCACUCACUCCUGCAACCUGUGCUAUCAAUUCAGGAGAAUACAGCCGAGCAUAUGAUGUCAGCUGCUGCUUUGUAUUGCACGGCAGUUUACAAGACAGGCUCAUACAGACACAAGCUGGAGGAACAGACUUCAUGUGCAGCUCAACAGCUGGACUGCUGGCACCUGAUUGGUAGUCGCUUGUGUGCGAUGAGACCCUGUCACCCCAGCGUCCAUCUUCUCCUGUUUACAAAAUUCUACUGUCAAAUAAUAUCCAAUAAUGAGUGUGCUGGAGUCAGGAGACACCCUGUCAAAUAGCUGGUCAUUGGGUCAGGUGGAGCAUUGAGUACUGUGAUCUCAGUCUGAAUGUAUUAAAAAUCUAAUGUGAACAGA